rnacentral:RNase_P_RNA from 1 species
UCAGAUGGCCGGAUGGCCGCUGCCUUACUUCUCUGGAAGGACGGGCAGAGGAAAGUCCGGGCUCCACGGAAACACGGUGCCGGAUAACAUCCGGCGGGGGCGACCCCAGGGAAAGUGCCACAGAAAGCAAACCGCCGGGCUCCGGCCCGGUAAGGGUGAAAGGGUGCGGUAAGAGCGCACCGCGCGGACGGUAACGGACGCGGCAGGGCAAACCCCACCGGGAGCAAAACCAAAUAGGGGCGGCAUUUCAGGCGUUUGUCUGAAAAACCUGUUUCCGGGCUGCCGCCCGGGUUGGUUGCUCGAGGCGUCCGGUAACGGGCGUCCCAGAUGAAUGGCCAUCGCCCGCAAGGGUACAGAACCCGGCUUACAGGCCAUCUGACAUU